AAAACUGAAAAGAGAAAGCAAAAAAAAAAAGGGGGGGGGGCUACGGGUAGGAGAAAAAGGAAAAGGAAAAACUAAGAAAGAGCUGAGGGAGAGAAAGAAAGCAGGGAAGAAAGGGUUUCGAAGGGGUUAACCGACAGUGAGAAAUAGAGAGAAGGUGGCUGAGCAAGCAAGGGGGAGAUUGAGGAAAAACCAGAGGGAGCAAGGCAAGAAACAAAAGGAAGUGACGGCUAGAGAAAGUAGGGGAGAAUUUGG
rnacentral:lncRNA from 1 species